rnacentral:lncRNA from 1 species
GGAGAGAUUGCUAGCAAUCCAUCCAUUCUCUUCUUCUUCUUCUUCAUGGAUGAUCAUCACUAAGCCGUCGAAAAUCACGAUCGAGUAUUACUGGCAAAUUAGGUAAGAGUCCAAAGUUUUCUGAGUUAUCUCUUCUUCUUCUUCCUCAGUAUUUAAAGCUUUAAUUUUGACUGACAAUCGCCAAAACUUUUUGAGAAAAAUAGAGCCCCUAUUUUUCUCAUAUUUUCAUUUUUUUUUGAUUUCCAGCAUCAUUCGCCACCACCAAUCAUUGGGAUGGAUGACCAUCGGCUAGGUUGCCAUGGCUCCAACCACCACCAACCACUAGCCAUGAAUCCUUUAUUUUAAGUAUUACAAUAAGCACAAAAAUAAGACACACACAGACUCGUACAAUCAUACAGAAUAGAGAAGAGAAGAAAAAAUGGACAUAGAAUUUUCGUGGUUCGGCCAUAAAGCCUACGUCCACGGGCAAAAUAUGAGAGAAAAAUUUCACUAUGAUGAAAAGAGAAAUACAAUCACUCAGAACUCUCUAAACUCUAGCCGCGGUCUGAUUUCUCAAAUCUUUUACCAAAAAUCUGUCGAGAUUGGCCCAUGCCUUCCGCUAUCACCACAGACCUCCCAAAAAAAUUUCAUUCAGAUCACAACGCGAGCUUUUCAGAUCGACUCAUAAUUCGAGCUCAUAAAAAAUAUUCAAAAUUCAAGCCACAUUAACAUUGAAAAAAGAAGGGGAUCAAGAAGUCUCUUGUUUUGCUAAUAAACUAAAAAAAAGAAAAAAAAAAAGAGAAAAAGAAAAAAGAAGAAAGNNNNNNNNNNNNNNNNNNNNAAAAAAAAGAGAAAAGAAAAAAAAGAAGAGUUUCUCUCUCCAAUCUUCUUCACUCCUCUCUUUAGUUUCUCUCUUCCCCAAUUUCUUACCUUGGUUUGGUUUGAUCUUUACUUUGGAUCGACUUUGAUUUUUGCCUUAAUUCAGCCUGAUCUUCACCUUGGCUAAGUUUAAUCUUCACCUUGGCUCGGUUUGAUCUUCACCUCGACUAAGUUUGAUCUUUGCCUUCACUCAGUUUGAUCUUCACUUCGGUUCGGCCUUGAUCUUUGUCUCGACUCAAUUUGAUCUUCAUCUCAGCUCGGCCUUGAUCUUUGCUUUGGUUUAGUUUGAUCUUCCUCUCAAUUCGAUUUGAUCUUUACCUCGAUCCGAUUUGAUCUUUACCUCGACUUGGUUUCUCAAAGACCUGUGGACCAGAAAAAAGGAAAGAAAAUGGACUGAUGGAUGAGAACUUUAAAGCCUCCUACCAUAAGAGCUUUGAGUCAUCGGAGUCUUUCCCUUUAUAAGCCUAUUCUCCUAGAACACCCUUGAUUUUGUUCAGAUAGAUAAGAAAGCAUGGAUCCAUCAUGAUUUAGGGGGCAGAAUUCGAGAUACUUCCGUAAUCUCUUUUUUUUGUUUGGAUUUUAAUCCGUCGUGAUCUUCUUCCUCAUUUAGAUGCUACGAUCUCCUUUUCUAUUUAGAUCCUAUGAUCUCUUUCCUCGUUUGGUUCCCUCCAAGAGUUCAAAUUUUGAAAUAAUUAAGUGCAGAUCUGUCAUGAUUCAGAAAUUGAAGGUUUUCUAUAAUUUUCUUUAUUUGAAUGUUGCCAUCUCCUUUCUUAUUGGGAUCCCAUCAAGAAUUCAAAUUUUAAAAUGAGGAAGAGCAGAUCCGUUAUGAUUCGAAAAUCGAGAGAUUUUCAUAACCUCCUUUAUCUGGAUAUUGCGAUCUUCUUUCUCACUUGAAUUCCAUCAAGAAUUCAAAUUUUGAAAUAAAAAAGCAUGGAUCCAUCAUGAUUUGAAAAUCAGAAGAUUUUUAUAAUUUUCUUUAUCUGGAUGUUGCAAUCUCCUUCCUUAUUUUGAGCCUCCUAGUUUUGAGCCCAAUUAGAAUAGCUUGGAGGUUGUUAACUGAUCUACUUGACUCGUGAUGGUGAAAGACGGAGCACGGAUCUUUCAAGGAGGGUGGUGAGUCCUAUUCUAGAUUUGGUCAGCAACUAGCCGAUUUGAAAAUGAUCGGCUUGGAUCUGAUUGACAUCUAGCCAAUCUAGAUGCAGUCAGCUUGGAUCUGGUCGAUGUCUAGCCGAUCUGGUCUUUAAGAAUUCGAUAGCAUUAGAGCAACACAACAAAGUUCUUUUGAUAAGAUGCUCACUUCUUUUCAUAAACGGAUCUGAAUCCUUUCUCUAGUACCAAUCUGUUAUUGUAAAAAUCUAUCUUAGAAGUAUUGACUGAAAUUGGACAGCGACCGCAAGUCGGCGAUGAUAGGACAGGGGAGGUAGGACCUAUAAGAUAAAUUUCAGACUGGAGUUGACUUCGAUAGAGGUCCUUCGAUGCUCAAGUCAGAUAUCUAGAACAGAUGGAAAGAAGUAAACACUUUGGAAGAGAUUUUUUCAUACCUUGGAGGUCCUCUAUAGGCCUUUAUUUAUAGGUAAAGGCUAAAGAACAUGAGAAGGAAGGAGAAUCAGGCAAUUAAUUUUGAGUUAUUAGGUAUCUCUAUUAUUUUCUACUUUAUCUAGAGAGAUAUAUUUAUUAUCUCCUACCUCAUCAAGAAUGCCGGCUAGAAAAAGAGAAUCAACGAUUAACCUUACUUUGUUGGGUAAGAUAUGCUUGUUAUCUUUUAUUUAGAGAAAUAUGUUUGUUAUUUCUUCUUUAUCCGCUCUCAGUAAGUUGUCGCAUGAAUUCUAAAAUUUCUUCGAUUGGCAUAAAUUGGGUAUAAUAUUUUUUUGAAAUAUUAACCUAGGUCGGCCAUCAUCAAAAUUAGAUCGGAUCCAACUUUCCUAUACAUCGACUUUAUCAAAGAAUUUUCUACCCAUACAUAACUUCCCUAUGCAUCAUCUUGAUCAAGGAAAGAAUUUCCUAUCCAUAUGUAUGGGUAGGAAAUUCUUUCCUUGAUAAAGCCGACGCAUAGGGAAGUUAGGCCCGAUCCAAUCUUGAUGAUGGCCGACUCAGACUAAUAUUGUGAAAAUAUAUUGUACCUAAUUUAUGCUAGUCAAGAAAGUCUUAGAAUCUGCAUGACAACUUGCUAAGAGUGGGAUAAAAAAGAAAUAACAAACAUAUUUUUUCAGAUAAAAGAUAACACAUAUAUCUUGCCCAACAAAGUAGGAUGAACCAUCGAUUCUUCUUCUCGAGUCAAUAUUUUCGAAGAGACAGGAGAUAACAAAUAUAUCUCUUCAGAUAAAGCAGAAUACAAAAGACAUUUCUUGUCCAAUAAGUCAAGGCUAACCAUCCGAUUCUCUUUCUUUCUCACGGCUCUUCACCCUCUGUCUAUAAAUAAAAGCCCAUAGAAGAUCUCUAAGGUAUGAAAAAAUUUCUCUCGCAAAGCACUUACUCCUUUCCAUCUAUUCUGGAUAUUUGACUUAAAUAUCGGAUGGUCCCUAUCGGAGUCAACUCUAAUCGAAGACUUAUCUUGCAGGUCCUGCACUGCCGCGUAACUAUCCAAUUCUAGUCAAGUCGAUCCAAGAUAGAUUUCUACAGCAACAGUUAUCAAGAAAGAACAAAAGUAGGAGAAAAGAUAUUUAUCGUGGUAGUGUCCUCAACAAUACAUACAUAAUGACGCAAUACGGUAGUAGUAUACACAGUGGAGAGAGCAAGGG